rnacentral:rRNA from 1 species
CAGGAUGAACGCUAGCUACAGGCUUAACACAUGCAAGUCGAGGGGCAGCAGAUCGAAAGCUUGCUUUGAUGCUGGCGACCGGCGCACGGGUGAGUAACGCGUAUCCAACCUUCCCUAUAGUAGAGAAUAGCCCGGCGAAAGUCGGGAUUAAUGCUCUAUGUUGUAUUUAGAAGACAUCUGAAGAAUACCAAAGGUUUACCGCUAUAGGACGGGGAUGCGUCUGAUUAGGUUGUUGGCGGGGUAACGGCCCACCAAGCCGACGAUCAGUAGGGGUUCUGAGAGGAAGGUCCCCCACAUUGGAACUGAGACACGGUCCAAACUCCUACGGGAGGCAGCAGUGAGGAAUAUUGGUCAAUGGACGAAAGUCUGAACCAGCCAAGUAAGCGUGCAGGAUGACGGCCCUAUGGGUUGUAAACUGCUUUUAUAUAGGGAUAAAGUCGGGGACGUGUCCCCGUUUGUAGGUACUAUAUGAAUAAGGACCGGCUAAUUCCGUGCCAGCAGCCGC